UAAAAGGACUUAUUCAAGUCCAUCGAUCCUGUUAAUCUGGUGUUUU
rfam:Alligator mississippiensis ScZkoYb_77, whole genome shotgun sequence.